rnacentral:rRNA from 1 species
GAUGAACGCUGGCGGCGUGCCUAAUACAUGCAAGUCGAGCGAACGGACGAGAAGCUUGCUUCUCUGAUGUUAGCGGCGGACGGGUGAGUAACACGUGGAUAACCUACCUAUAAGACUGGGAUAACUUCGGGAAACUGGAGCUAAUACCGGAUAAUAUUUUGAACCGCAUGGUUCAAAAGUGAAAGACGGUCUUGCUGUCACUUAUAGAUGGAUCCGCGUUGCAUUAGCUAGUUGGUAAGGUAACGGCUUACCAAGGCAACGAUGCAUAGCCGACCUGAGAGGGUGAUCGGCCACACUGGAACUGAGACACGGUCCAGACUCCUACGGGAGGCAGCAGUAGGGAAUCUUCCGCAAUGGGCGAAAGCCUGACGGAGCAACGCCGCGUGAGUGAUGAAGGUCUUCGGAUCGUAAAACUCUGUUAUUAGGGAAGAACAUAUGUGUAAGUAACUGUGCACAUCUUGACGGUACCUAAUCAGAAAGCCACGGCUAACUACGU